GUGGAUUAGGCAUGCAAGUCGAGCGAGAAAUUCUUUUUUGAUUUCUUCGGAAUGAUUUAUUGAAUGGACAGCGGCGCAAGGGAGAGUAACGCGUGGAAGUUUACCUUGAGGAUCGGGAUAGCUGCGGGAAACUGCAGGUAAUACCGAAUAAUGUCCCCGGACCAAACUUUUUGGCCUCAAGAGAACUCCGCGUCCUACUAGCUUGUUGGUGGUGUAACGGACCACCAAGGCGAUGAUGGGUAGCGGGUGUGAGAGCAUGACCCGCCUCACUGGGACUGAGACACUGCCCAGACACCUACGGGUGGCUGCAGUCGAGAAUCUUCGGCAAUGGACGCAAGUCUGACCGAGCGACGCCGCGUGCGGGAUGAAGGCCUUCGGGUUGUAAACCGCUGUCAGAGGGGAGGAAAGCUUCGGCUUGACUGAACCUCAGAGGAAGCACGGGCUAAGUUCGUGCCAGCAGCCGCGGUAACACGAACCGUGCGAACGUUAUUCGGAAUCACUGGGCUUAAAGGGUGCGUAGGCGGCUUUGCAAGUGGGAUGUGAAAUCCCUCAGCUCAACUGAGGAACUGCGUUCCAAACUGCAAAGCUAGAGGGAGACAGAGGUAAGCGGAACUGAUGGUGGAGCGGUGAAAUGCGUUGAUAUCAUCAGGAACACCAGUGGCGAAGGCGGCUUACUGGGUCUCUUCUGACGCUGAGGCACGAAAGCUAGGGUAGCGAACGGGAUUAGAUACCCCGGUAGUCCUAGCUGUAAACGAUGAGUACUGGAUCGUGGGGCCUUCCACAGCCUCUCGGUCGUAGCGAAAGUGUUAAGUACUCCGCCUGGGGAGU
rnacentral:rRNA from 1 species